CGGCGAACGGGUGCGUAAUGCAUGGGAAUCUGCCUAGUAGUGGGGAAUAACCCGGCGAAAGCCGGGCUAAUGCCGCAUACGACCUACGGGUGAAAGCGGGGGAUCGCAAGACCUCGCGCUAUUAGGUGAGCCCAUGUCGGAUUAGCUAGUUGGUAGGGUAACGGCCUACCAAGGCGACGAUCCGUAGCUGGUCUGAGAGGACGGCCAGCCACACUGGGACUGAGACACGGCCCAG
rnacentral:rRNA from 1 species